GGGGGGUUAGCUCAGUUGGUAGAGCGCCAGAAUCGCACUCUGGAGGUCAGCGGUUCGAGUCCGCUACCCUCCA
rnacentral:tRNA from 2 species